rnacentral:rRNA from 1 species
CCUACGGGAGGCAGCAGUGGGGAAUAUUGCACAAUGGGGGAAACCCUGAUGCAGCGACGCCGCGUGAGUGAAGAAGUAUUUCGGUACGUAAAGCUCUAUCAGCAGGGAAGAAAAUGACGGUACCUGACUAAGAAGCCCCGGCUAACUACGUGCCAGCAGCCGCGGUAAUACGUAGGGGGCAAGCGUUAUCCGGAUUUACUGGGUGUAAAGGGAGCGUAGACGGCAGCGCAAGUCUGGAGUGAAAUCCCAUGGCUUAACCAUGGAACUGCUUUGGAAACUGUGCAGCUAGAGUGCAGGAGAGGUAAGCGGAAUUCCUAGUGUAGCGGUGAAAUGCGUAGAUUUUAGGAGGAACACCAGUGGCGAAGGCGGCUUACUGGACUGUACCUGCCGUUGAGGCUCGAAAGCGUGGGGAGCAAACAGGAUUAGAUACCCCUGUAGUC